rnacentral:piRNA from 1 species
UCUAAGAAAUUCCUAGGUGUGUCUGACAGA